rnacentral:rRNA from 1 species
GACGAACGCUGGCGGCGUGCUUAACACAUGCAAGUCGAACGGAAAGGCCCUGCUUUUGUGGGGUGCUCGAGUGGCGAACGGGUGAGUAACACGUGAGUAACCUGCCCUUGACUUUGGGAUAACUUCAGGAAACUGGGGCUAAUACCGGAUAGGAGCUCCUGCUGCAUGGUGGGGGUUGGAAAGUUUCGGCGGUUGGGGAUGUACUCGCGGCUUAUCAGCUUGUUUGUGGGGUAGUGGCUUACCAAGGCUUUGACGGGUAGCCGGCCUGAGAGGGUGACCGGCCACAUUGGGACUGAGAUACGGCCCAGACUCCUACGGGAGGCAGCAGUGGGGAAUAUUGCACAAUGGGCGGAAGCCUGAUGCAGCAACGCCGCGUGCGGGAUGACGGCCUUCGGGUUGUAAACCACUUUCGCCUGUGACGAAGCGUGAGUGACGGUAAUGGGUAAAGAAGCACCGGCUAACUACGUG